rnacentral:sRNA from 1 species
UCCGGCUGGUACGUUCUACCUCUGAAGGAUAAAUAAGUCUUAAAGAAAUCCAAGAAAUUCCAAGCCAACUCACAGAAAAGAAACACCUUCCUUAAUAACUCAACAAAACAUUUCUCAGACUCAGUGAGUUGUGUUGUGCUUGCCGAAACGGCGAAAGUUACGUCUUGACGCGGGUGUCUUUGACUUUUUUUGGUGAAUCUCAAACGCGCGAGAGCGCUUUGGCUUUAUCUUCGCAACGUCGUAACAAUAACAUGCUGAAGUUGAAGUUGGCAUUUGGCGUUUUGUGAGAUGACGAUAGCCUGUAAAAGUGAGUGUUUGUAAGGAAUUCCAUUUCCACGCAGUCGUCGUUAUCGUCCUGUUCGUCAAAUCCAAAAUUGUUCCUUUGCAAAACACUUCAAAUCCCUUUGAAACGUUAAUUUCGCUGUUGCCUCUGCCGCUCUGUGUGUGUUUUUUUGCAAAGGGAAAAUCUUUUCUAGCCGUGCGUUUUUUUGCUUUGUUUGUUUGGUAUGGGACACUUUUGGACGUGCUUAAGGACAACGAAAAGAAAACGCAACACAUCAAAUUUAAGUAUCAUUCCUUAACGUGUGCUCCAAUGUAAAGGUUGUCUCUGGCCCCAACAAGAAAAAACACCGAAAACCAAAGAAAGUAAAAUUCAACGGAAAAUGAAUUUUUUAAAACUUUGGAGUGUUGUGUGUGUGUGAGUGUGUUAAAAUUAAAGGCCAAAGUAAUGAUUUAAGGCACAGCCAUGACGAACAACCGCCUACCAGGCCUGCCUGCCUGCUAGUCUUAUACAAAGGAUGUGCAAACUUAAGUGUCUAUGUGUGAUUUAUUUGGUGCUUGGCAAAACUUUUACGGUUCAGGCACUUCUUCACAAAAAGCCCUUUGGUAUUAAAGUGCUAAAGAAAGUUCACAAAAAUAAAUGUCUUCUUGAGAAAGUUUAGGCAAAUAAGUAGAAAAAGAGAGAUUUUUAAAAUAAUGGAAUAUGACUUUGAGGAAAAAAUUAGAAAAAAAAAUUACAACUCCCGAAAUGAAUGCGGAGCCUUAAACAAAGGAAGGUCGGUUUCAAUCAACAAACCAUGGUUUCGAGUGAUUUCGACGACAAACAUGAAGUCUUACAUUUAAAGCUUUACCGUUCCAGAAAUUUCAAUUUAAUGUCACAUCAACCUUGACAUAUCUGAAGACCAACUAAUCGCUGCCUAUUUGUUUGGUGUACCGCCUUCUAGCAAAUAUUACAGCCACAUUUAUCUGUCAUUUCUAUGCGGACUAAUUUGUUUGUUUUUGAUGUUAAUUUAGCCGUUAAUACUCGUAAGUUAACAAAUUUAUAGUCUAACCUGUGGU